rnacentral:rRNA from 1 species
CCUACGGGAGGCAGCAGUGGGGAAUUUUGGACAAUGGACGCAAGUCUGAUCCAGCCAUGCCGCGUGCGGGAAGAAGGCCUUCGGGUUGUAAACCGCUUUUGUCAGGGAAGAAAAGGUUCUGGUUAAUACCUGGGACUCAUGACGGUACCUGAAGAAUAAGCACCGGCUAACUACGUGCCAGCAGCCGCGGUAAUACGUAGGGUGCAAGCGUUAAUCGGAAUUACUGGGCGUAAAGCGUGCGCAGGCGGUUAUGCAAGACAGAGGUGAAAUCCCCGGGCUCAACCUGGGAACUGCCUUUGUGACUGCAUAGCUAGAGUACGGUAGAGGGGGAUGGAAUUCCGCGUGUAGCAGUGAAAUGCGUAGAUAUGCGGAGGAACACCGAUGGCGAAGGCAAUCCCCUGGACCUGUACUGACGCUCAUGCACGAAAGCGUGGGGAGCAAACAGGAUUAGAUACCCUGGUAGUCCACGCCCUAAACGAUGUCAACUGGUUGUUGGGAGGGUUUCUUCUCAGUAACGUAGCUAACGCGUGAAGUUGACCGCCUGGGGAGGACGGCGCGAAGGUAGUAACGUUACGAAGUAAGUUAGUUAGGCGNGNGCGNGCGACGGACGACGACGAGGGAGGAGG